AACUAUUUCUCUAUAUGAAUCCACGAAUCCGUAGCACAAGAUAACUAGCACAGAGAGAGAAGAAAAGGAGAGAGAGAGAGAUGGAUAGAGGAAAAGAAUUGGCGAAGAAAGAUCACUAUUCGCAUCAUUUGCAGAGAGAGAUGAGAGGAGGAAAAGAAUUGGCGAAGAGAGAUCACCAUUCGCAUCAUUUGCAGAGAGAGAUGAGAGGAGGAAAAGAAUUGGUGAAGAGAGAAGAUCACUACUCGCAUCAUUCGCGGUGCAACGUGAAAAAAGGAAAAGAAUUGGGGAAGAGAGAAGAUCACUAUUCGCAUCAUUCGCUGCACAUCGUGGAAAGAGGAAAAGAAUUGGUGAAGAGAGAAAGUCACUCCUCGCAUCAUUCGUUGCGCAUCGUGGAAAGAGGAAAAGAAUCGGUGAAGAGAGAAUAUCACUCCUCGCAUCAUUCGGUGCGCAUCGUGGAAAGAGGAAAAGAAUUGGCAAAGAAAGAAGAUCACUACUUGCAUCAUUCGCGGCACAGUGUGGAAAAAAGAAAAGAAUUGGUGAUGAGAGAAAAACACUACUCGCAUCAUUGAAAGAUCAAAUGCUGUAGUUCAGGUUUACCAUCGAGUGGAGUUUUGUUGCAGGAGUUCGAUGAAGUUCGGGUUGCCGUCUUGAAGCUUCUUUGUUUGGGAUAAGUUGUGGUACUUGGUGUUGUGCAUGUUGUUUCUUGUUGGUCGUUUUAGUAGUUGCUUUCUUUUCUUUUCCUAGUCUGGUAUAUCAUUGUAUGUGGCACUCUAUCUAUGGUUAUUAAUACAAUUUUAUCUUUUCUCAAAAAAAAGAAAAGAAAAAAGGCCUACUCUCUCUCCAUAUUAUAUGUACUCAUUUAUUUAUAUAUACAUCAUCGUUUGCAGCUUAAUUUGAUUUGAAA